rnacentral:tRNA from 1 species
AACUAAGUAGUCUAUUAGGAUAUUAAAUUGCAAAUUUAAAGGUAAAUUUUAUUUCUUAGUUU